rnacentral:rRNA from 1 species
CCAAUAGCGUAUAUUAAAGUUGUUGCAGUUAAAAAGCUCGUAGUUGAAUUUCGGGGUCAGUACGCUGGUCGUGCCUUCGGUAUGUACUGGUGUUACUGGUUCCUACCUUCUGACGAACCGUCAUGUCAUUAAUUUGGUGUGGCGGGGAAUCAGGACUGUUACUUUGAAAAAAUUAGAGUGUUUAAAGCAGGCUCGCGCUUGAAUACAUUAGCAUGGAAUAAUGAAAUAGGACGUUCGAUCCUAUUUUGUUGGUUUCUAGGAUUGACGUAAUGAUUAAUAGGGAUAGUUGGGGGCAUUAGUAUUCAAUUGUCAGAGGUGAAAUUCUUGGAUUUAUUGAAGACUAACUACUGCGAAAGCAUUUGCCGAGGAUGUCUUCAUUAAUCAAGAACGAAAGUUAGGGGAUCGAAGACGAUCAGAUACCGUCGUAGUCUUAACCAUAAACUACGCCGACUAGGGAUCGGAUGAUGUUAAUUUUUUAAUGACUCAUUCGGCGCCUUACG